UCUGGAAAGGCGCGCGAUACAGGGUGACAGCCCCGUACACAAAAGCGCAUGUGCUGUGAGCUCGAUGAGUAGGGCGGGACACGUGGUAUCCUGUCUGAAUAUGGGGGGACCAUCCUCCAAGGCUAAAUACUCCUGACUGACCGAUAGUGAACCAGUACCGUGAGGGAAAGGCGAAAAGAACCCCGGCGAGGGGAGUGAAAAAGAACCUGAAACCGUGUACGUACAAGCAGUGGGAGCCCCACCACCAAAGCAUUCUCUGGUGUUGAAGGCCCUGCAAAGCAGCAUCGCGGUGGCGGAGCGUCGUUUGCGACGCCCAACACACAAAACAAGCGGUGAGUGCUUUGGGGUGGGGUGACUGCGUACCUUUUGUAUAAUGGGUCAGCGACUUAUAUUCUGUAGCAAGGUUAACCGAAUAGGGGAGCCGGAGGGAAACCGAGUCUUAAUUGGGCGUUAAGUUGCAGGGUAUAGACCCGAAACCCGGUGAUCUAGCCAUGGGCAGGUUGAAGGUUGGGUAACACUAACUGGAGGACCGAACCGACUAAUGUUGAAAAAUUAGCGGAUGACCUGUGGCUGGGGGUGAAAGGCCAAUCAAACCGGGAGAUAGCUGGUUCUCCCCGAAAGCUAUUUAGGUAGCGCCUCGUGAAUUCAUCUCCGGGGGUAGAGCACUGUUUCGGCUAGGGGGCCAUCCCGGCUUACCAACCCGAUGCAAACUGCGAAUACCGGAGAAUGUUAUCACGGGAGACACACGGCGGGUGCUAACGUCCGUCGUGAAGAGGGAAACAACCCAGACCGCCAGCUAAGGUCCCAAAGUCAUGGUUAAGUGGGAAACGAUGUGGGAAGGCCCAGACAGCCAGGAUGUUGGCUUAGAAGCAGCCAUCAUUUAAAGAAAGCGUAAUAGCUCACUGGUCGAGUCGGCCUGCGCGGAAGAUGUAACGGGGCUAAACCAU
rnacentral:rRNA from 1 species